ACACGCAUGACACACUGCAUAUCAAUAAGCGGAGGAAAAGAAACUAACUAGGAUUCCCCUCAGUAACGGCGAGUGAAGCGGGAAGAGCUCAAAUUUGAAAUCUUCAAGGUUUUACCUUGACGAAUUGUAGUUUAUAGAAGUGUUUUCUGUUAGUGGUUUGGUAAAAGUUCUUUGGAAUAGGACAUCAUAGAGGGUGAGAAUCCCGUAUUUGACCAUUACUUCCAGCGUUGUGAUACACUUUCAAAGAGUCGGAUUGUUUGGGAAUGCAGUCCAAAAUGGGUGGUAAAUUUCAUCUAAAGCUAAAUAUUGGCGAGAGACCGAUAGCGAACAAGUACCGUGAGGGAAAGAUGAAAAGAACUUUGAAAAGAGAGUUAAACAGUACGUGAAAUUGUCAAAAGGGAAGCGUUUGACACCAGUGUUGUUUUCUCGAAAAUCAAUUAAAAAGAGUUGGAUUUUGUAUUGUUAAGACCUUAUCAGCUUACUGUACUUUUUUCUUGCUCUUUUUAAUGCACUUUUCGUUUACAAGUCAACAUCAAUUUCUUUUGUUGUAAAAGGGUCAUUGGAAGGUGGCUUUCACUUCGGUGAAAGUGUUUAUAGCCUUUGGCUUCUACAAUCGGAGAGAUUGAGGUCUGCAGCGUAGAUCCUUCGGGGUUAGAUACGUAGAUGCUAAGUUAUAGUUUUUUAUAGACAACUUGUUGACUAUGAUUAAUCAUGUAGCUUACUCGUUUGCGCUAUUUUACCUACGCUUAGGAUGUUGAGCGCAUGUCUCUCUCU
rnacentral:rRNA from 1 species